rnacentral:tRNA from 1 species
GGUGGAGCAGCCUGGUAGCUCGUCGGGCUCAUAACCCGAAGGUCGUCGGUUCAAAUCCGGCCCAAGG